rnacentral:tRNA from 4 species
GCCGAAGUGGUGGAAUGGUAGACACGCAUGCUUCAGGUGCAUGUGAGGGCAACCUCGUGCUGGUUCAAGUCCAGUCUUCGGCA